CCUACGGGAGGCAGCAGUAGGGAAUAUUGCACAAUGGGGGAAACUCUGAUGCAGCAACGCCGCGUGAGUGAUGACGGCCUUCGGGUUGUAAAGCUCUGUCUGCAGGGACGAUAAUUACAGUACCUGAGUAGCCAUCCACGGCUAACUACGUGCCAGCAGCCGCGGUAAUACGUAGGUGGCGAGCGUUGUCCGGAUUUACUGUGCGUAAAGGGAGCGUAGGCGGAUUGUUAAGUGAGAUGUGAAAUACUCGGGCUCAACUUGAGAGCUGCAUUUCAAACUGGAAGUCUGGAGUGCAGGAGAGGAGAAUGGAAUUCCUAGUGUAGCGGUGAAAUGCGUAGAGAUUAGGAAGAACACCAGUGGCGAAGGCGAUUCUCUGGACUGUAACUGACGCUGAGGCUCGAAAGCGUGGGGAGCAAACAGGAUUAGAUACCCCAGUAGUC
rnacentral:rRNA from 1 species